ACUCCUACGGGAGGCAGCAGUAGGGAAUCUUCCACAAUGGGCGCAAGCCUGAUGGAGCAACACCGCGUGAGUGAAGAAGGGUUUCGGCUCGUAAAGCUCUGUUGUUAAAGAAGAACACGUAUGAGAGUAACUGUUCAUACGUUGACGGUAUUUAACCAGAAAGUCACGGCUAACUACGUGCCAGCAGCCGCGGUAAUACGUAGGUGGCAAGCGUUAUCCGGAUUUAUUGGGCGUAAAGAGAGUGCAGGCGGUUUUCUAAGUCUGAUGUGAAAGCCUUCGGCUUAACCGGAGAAGUGCAUCGGAAACUGGAUAACUUGAGUGCAGAAGAGGUAGUGGAACUCCAUGUGUAGCGGUGGAAUGCGUAGAUAUAUGGAAGAACACCAGUGGCGAAGGCGGCUACCUGGUCUGCAACUGACGCUGAGACUCGAAAGCAGU
rnacentral:rRNA from 1 species